rnacentral:rRNA from 1 species
GAUGAACGCUGGCGGCGUGCCUAAUACAUGCAAGUCGAGCGAACAGACGAGGAGCUUGCUCCUCUGACGUUAGCGGCGGACGGGUGAGGAACACGUGGAUAACCUACCUAUAAGACUGGGAUAACUUCGGGAAACCGGAGCUAAUACCGGAUAAUAUAUUGAACCGCAUGGUUCAAUAGUGAAAGACGGUUUUGCUGUCACUUAUAGAUGGAUCCGCGCCGCAUUAGCUAGUUGGUAAGGUAACGGCUUACCAAGGCAACGAUGCGUAGCCGACCUGAGAGGGUGAUCGGCCACACUGGAACUGAGACACGGUCCAGACUCCUACGGGAGGCAGCAGUAGGGAAUCUUCCGCAAUGGGCGAAAGCCUGACGGAGCAACGCCGCGUGAGUGAUGAAGGUCUUCGGAUCGUAAAACUCUGUUAUUAGGGAAGAACAAAUGUGUAAGUAACUAUGCACGUCUUGACGGUACCUAAUCAGAAAGCCACGGCUAACUACGUG